rnacentral:rRNA from 1 species
GCUGGCGGCAUGCCUUACACAUGCAAGUCGAACGGCAGCACGGGAGCAAUCCUGGUGGCGAGUGGCGAACGGGUGAGUAAUAUAUCGGAACGUGCCCAGUCGUGGGGGAUAACGCAGCGAAAGCUGUGCUAAUACCGCAUACGAUCUCUGGAUGAAAGCGGGGGACCUGCAAGGGCCUCGCGCGAUUGGAGCGGCCGAUAUCAGAUUAGCUAGUUGGUGGGGUAAAAGCUCACCAAGGCGACGAUCUGUAGCUGGUCUGAGAGGACGACCAGCCACACUGGAACUGAGACACGGUCCAGACUCCUACGGGAGGCAGCAGUGGGGAAUUUUGGACAAUGGGCGCAAGCCUGAUCCAGCAAUGCCGCGCGCAGGAUGAAGGCCUUCGGGUUGUAAACUGCUUUUGUACGGAACGAAAAGGCUCUUUUUAAUAAAGAGGGCUCAUGACGGUACCGUAAGAAUAAGCACCGGCUAACUACGUGCCAGCAGCCGCGGUAAUACGUAGGGUGCGAGCGUUAAUCGGAAUUACUGGGCGUAAAGCGUGCGCAGGCGGUUUUGUAAGACAGAUGUGAAAUCCCCGGGCUCAACCUGGGACCUGCAUUUGUGACUGCAAGGCCAGAGUACGGUAGAGGGGGAU